rnacentral:rRNA from 1 species
GGAAUCGCUAGUAAUCGCAGAUCAGCAUGCUGCGGUGAAUACGUUCCCGGGCUUGUACACACCGCCCGUCAAACCAUGGGAGUUUGGAGCACCCGAAGUCAGUGGCCUAACCGAAAGGGAGGAGCUGCCGAAGGUGAGCCAGAUAACUGGGGUUAAGUCGUAACAAGGUACC